rnacentral:misc_RNA from 1 species
AAAGUCGUAACAAGGUUUCCGUAGGUGAACCUGCGGAAGGAUCAUUGUAUUAAACCCCCCCUGUACACACAGUGACCUGCUCCCCUCAAUUUCGGUCUGAGGCAAUCCCUGGUAAAUCAUCGCCGAACAGUUUUGAUUCAGGGACAUCCAAAGGACCGGGGUAGGGUAUUAAAGUAGUAGUCCCAUGCAAGUGACCUGGUUUCCCCAAGCAGCUAAAAACGUCCCGAGAACGGACCAAGUGGUAGUUCGAGGGGUUGACUUCGGUUACGCGAUAGCUGUGGAAAGGAAGACGCUUUACGAAUCACUAGAGGCCGCCACGGCCGGUGACCGGGUCCCUGGGUCCUAGACCCCCUGAUCACCACUACAGUCGCAGACACGGGUAGGGAUACGUCCUUACCAAACAAUAAAUACUUGAACAACUGUUAACAAUGGAUAUCUUGGUUCUC